GCCCUUAGAGUUUGAUCCUGGCUCAGGAUGAACGCUGGCGGCGUGCCUAACACAUGCAAGUCGAGCGCGAUUAGUUGGACUGGAGACUUCGGUCAAAGGGAAGACUAUGAAAGCGGCGGACGGGUGAGUAACGCGUGAGCAACCUGCCCUGUACAGGGGGAUAGCCACUGGAAACGGUGAUUAAUACCCCAUAAACCCAAAAGAUCGCAUGAUCUAAUGGGCAAAGUUCCAACGGUACAGGAUGGGCUCGCGUCUGAUUAGCUAGUUGGUGAGGUAAUGGCUCACCAAGGCGACGAUCAGUAGCCGACCUGAGAGGGUGAACGGCCACACUGGAACUGAGACACGGUCCAGACUCCUACGGGAGGCAGCAGUGGGGAAUAUUGCACAAUGGGCGCAAGCCUGAUGCAGCAACGCCGCGUGAGUGUUGAAGGCCUUCGGGUCGUAAAACUCUGUCCUAAGGGAAGAAGAAGUGACGGUACUUAGGAGGAAGCCCCGGCUACACUG
rnacentral:rRNA from 1 species